UCUCACGCAACUCAUUAGGGACAACCCAAACAUACACGGCAUUAUGAGACAAGGCAAGGAACAUAAACUCACACUUUUCGCAGACGACAUCCUCUUGACACUCGAGCAACCACACAUAUCCCUACCUAACUUCCACGAUACGCUCACCCAAUAUAGCAAGUGCUCCUAUUAUAAACUUAAUAUAAAUAAAACUCAAGCAAUG